rnacentral:tmRNA from 1 species
GGGGAUGACAGGCUUCGACGGGAGAGGCUGGUCCCGGACUGCGAGCCGAGAGGCGCCGACCUCGAAAAAUCAGCGCACCCGAUAAGUGCCAACCGCACUUCCUAUGCUGCUCUGCCCCUCGCUGCCUAACGCAGUGAGCUGAGCACUUGACCCAAACGGGUCACGUCCGCCCAUCACCGCUCUCUGGCCGGGGUUGGAGCGGGCGACACAAAAGCCAGAGUGCCACCGGCUGACGCCGCUACGCCGGUGAAAGCGGGGCUUUCGGGCCCCAGCGGAUGGUUGUGCGAAUCCUUUUGUCCCUUGUAGGCCGCCCGACGACAAACAACAAGUGACUACGCUCGUAGAUGUUCGCGGAACGAAUCUUUCGGACGCGGGUUCGAUUCCCGCCAUCUCCACCU